CCAAGUCGAGUGCACAAUAUGCUGAUUCACAUGAUCGUGGCCUUCUAUAAGUGCACUGACCACUGUAUACCACUUUAUCGAUAUGAUGAUGUUUACGAAGAAUAAUUCAUGUCAUCAUAUAUAAAAAGGAUUAUUUCUGUAUUUUGAGAAAAUACUUGUUAAGAUUUUUAUCUGUGUUUACAAUCACACAAAAGUAUCAUACGGCCAUUCAAUGGCUGAAUCAGGAAGUCUUUUGGUUGUUUAUUAUACUGUUUGGUUGUGUGUCGUAUUACUUAUAUAUAUACCGUGUACUGGGCUUGUCAAUUACAUUGUAAACUAAGUGUAAUAUCACCAUUAAAUAUGUAAUUUACUAUCACUUACUAUCUAGUAUUCUUAUAAAUGCUAAAAUUAGAAUAUAAGGCUGAGCUAGGUUUUUUUUCUAGUUUUACUUUGCUAAUAGAUAAUAAAUAAUAUUUAAACAUUAUUCAGAGACCCUCAACACAAGUUGCACUCGACGUCGAGCUCGUUCAGAGAUAUCUCAGAGAUAUGGUAUAGGCAGGAUAUGUGGAGCUUGGUACAGCUAUACAUAUCUUAAAUAUCUACCCAGUUCAAAGGAAUGAGGAACGUGAUAAACCCAAAUUAAGUAAACACACAAAAGAAGUCCCUGUCUGUUUUCCUCUAAGAGGUGACGAUUACACACUUCCUGGUCCAAAUGACUUCCUUGUUUGAUUUCAACUAGCAAGUACGUUGUACAAUAGGUGCAAGAACAUUUGUCAAGUGAGGCUACAAGGUGCUUGACCGAACUCGUCAAACUAACCGGGCGCCUGCUGCUUAAUGUAAAACUAACAUAUGGAGGAAACACAUGCAAGUAUGACAAGUAAUUCUAAUUAUAUCGCAGGUGCUCUACACGAAGACUCGGUCCUCCGUUUCUGUAGCCGGGGAAGGAGAUGAAAUUUAAGGUACAUUAGUUCACUUGUAUUUCAAAAGAUUAGAGAGUAAAACAAAGGGCGUGUUAUGGACUAUGGACACCUCUACAGAGAUGUUAUAAAGGGUUCGAAAUCGAUUUGCAUUUCAGGAAGGUGACGCAGCUUUAUAAACAUACCAGAAGGGAAUUCCCCUGUUUCGCUUAGAUCAGCUGUUCACAACGACAGAUUUGGAGUAGUGUAAAUGUGUAACCUGGUCAUCGAGUUUAGCCUUGUGUGACGACUCGGGUCCAGCAAACACCUUGAGGAGUGGAA